UGUGUAUUUGUAUAUUAGUGUGUGCGUAUAAAUGUGCACACUUGUGUGGCUGUGUGCAUUGUGUGUCAUUAGUGUGUGCAUUUAUAUGUUAUGUGU
rnacentral:miRNA from 1 species